CCUACGGGGGGCAGCAGUGGGGAAUCAUUCACAAUGGGCGAAAGCCUGAUGGUGCGACGCCGCGUGAGGGAUGAAGGUCUUCGGAUCGUAAACCUCUGUCACCGGGGAAGAAACGCUAUGCGAUAAUAUCGCCUAGCCUGACUUAACCCGGAGAGGAAGCAGUGGCUAACUCUGUGCCAGCAGCCGCGGUAAUACAGAGACUGCAAGCGUUAUUCGGAUUCACUGGGCGUAAAGGGUGCGCAGGCGGCCGUGUGUGUGAGGUGUGAAAUCCCGGAGCUUAACUCCGGAACUGCGCCUCAAACUACACGGCUAGAGCAUUGGAGAGGGAAGUGGAAUUCACGGUGUAGCAGUGAAAUGCGUAGAUAUCGUGAGGAACACCAGAGGCGAAGGCGACUUCCUGGACAAUUGCUGACGCUCAGGCACGAAAGCGUGGGGAGCAAACGGGAUUAGAUACCCCAGUAGUC
rnacentral:rRNA from 1 species